rnacentral:lncRNA from 1 species
UCAUUAACAGAUGGUACAAGUGACUAGUACAUGGUAUUUUAAUAAUUUUUUGUUCCCAAAAUGUCCUUGUCCCCUUCCUUUGAGUGAUUUCAUCUUUCCGAACUCAGAAAGAGCUUAAGCUUGUUUGUGAAUUUGCACAAAUCCAUAACAUUGGAAAAAUAACCGAAUGAAACAUGACAAGAGUACAACACAAAAGAUAGAUUCUUCCUUGUCGGCUUAUAGUUAUAGAGGCCCCAAACCAAAACGCAACUCCCUUGCAGAUUGGGUCUCAACGAAAAUCGCACUCUCUCAAUCUUCUUCCUCCUACAGCAAACAACCCAAAAACCAAGCAAAAAAAUUGAGACCUAACAUCGAAAGCCCCUAAAACAGAAAACGCGAUUCAUAUUUUUCAUUGUCGACAAAGCAAAAGAGGCUGGUUUUCUUUCUUCAUUGUCGGCAAAGUAGAAGAGCUUGGGGGAUUCGAAUUUGAAUCUGAAGUCAGAACCGCGAUUCGGGGAUUGUGGACAUCAACUAUGAAUUUGAACCAGUUGCCGUUGGAAUCAAAUAAGGAUUCGAGAUUUAUACGUGGUUGAGGGGUGGUUGCAACCAUUAUUGAUGGCAUUGAAAGAAUAGAUCUAUGUGAAAAUGAGAUGGAG